rnacentral:rRNA from 1 species
UCAGAUUGAUCCUGGCUCAGGAUGAACGCUAGCUACAGGCUUAACACAUGCAAGUCGAGGGGAAACGACAUCGAAAGCUUGCUUUUGAUGGGCGUCGACCGGCGCACGGGUGAGUAACGCGUAUCCAACCUGCCCACCACUUGGGGAUAACCUUGCGAAAGUAAGACUAAUACCCAAUGACGUCUCUAGAAGACAUCCGAAAGAGAUUAAAGAUUUAUCGGUGAUGGAUGGGGAUGCGUCUGAUUAGCUUGUUGGCGGGGUAACGGCCACCAAGGCGACGAUCAGUAGGGGUUCUGGAGAGGAAGGUCCCCCACAUUGGAACUGAGACACGGUCCAAACUCCUAACGGGAGGCA